rnacentral:rRNA from 1 species
CCUACGGGCGGCUGCAGUGGGGAAUAUUGGACAAUGGGCGAAAGCCUGAUCCAGCCAUGCCGCGUGUGUGAAGAAGGCCUUCGGGUUGUAAAGCACUUUCAGUGGGGAAGAAAGCCUUGGGGCUAAUACCCUCGAGGAAGGACAUCCCACAGAAGAAGCACCGGCUAACUCCGUGCCAGCAGCCGCGGUAAUACGGAGGGUGCGAGCGUUAAUCGGAAUUACUGGGCGUAAAGCGCGCGUAGGCGGUCUGAUAAGCCGGUUGUGAAAGCCCCGGGCUCAACCUGGGAACGGCAUCCGGAACUGUCAGGCUAGAGUGCAGGAGAGGAAGGUAGAAUUCCCGGUGUAGCGGUGAAAUGCGUAGAGAUCGGGAGGAAUACCAGUGGCGAAGGCGGCCUUCUGGACUGACACUGACGCUGAGGUGCGAAAGCGUGGGUAGCAAACAGGAUUAGAUACCCGUGUAGUC